rnacentral:rRNA from 1 species
UUUAAUUCGAAGUAACGCGAAGAACCUUACCAAGUCUUGACAUCCUUUGACCACCCUAGAGAUAGGGCUUUCCCUUCGGGGACAAAGUGGCAGGUGGUGCAUGGUUGUCGUCAGCUCGUGUCGUGAGAUGUUGGGUUAAGUCCCGUAACGAGCGCAACCCCUAUUAUUAGUUGCCAGCAUUUAGUUGGGCACUCUAAUGAGAUUGCCGGUGACAAACCGGAGGAAGGUGGGGAUGACGUCAAAUCAGCAUGCCCCUUAUGACUUGGGCUACACACGUGCUACAAUGGAUGGUACAACGAGUCGCAAACCCGCGAGGGCAAGCAAAUCUCUUAAAGCCAUUCUCAGUUCGGAUUGCAGGCUGCAACUCGCCUGCAUGAAGCCGGAAUCGCUAGUAAUCGUGGAUCAGCACGCCA